UAUACUUUUCCAGAUUUCGGACGGAAAAUAGGAGUCAGGUUGCCCUUGGAAACGGUCUCCAAAGAGAUAGAGCAAAAAAAUGGAUGUGUUUGAAGUUUCUUGCUGGAGUGACCCAACCUCUUCUUAAUGUCCAUUUCUAGAAAAGCCAUAACAGCUGAACGAGCAUCUUUCGAGAUAGUAGUUAGCUUUUUAUCCCGAGAAAUAUGAAGAGCAGAAGAUAAACGAUCUGCUGAUGAAGCCUUUUCUUCCUCUGAAGCUCGAAUCCAAUUGAUCAAAAGAUGAUUGGGAAAAGGUCGCACUUGAAAAAGGCAUUCGUAAAAUGUUAUACCUAAGGACCACCAGUCUGAUUCUUUAUAAGAAACAGCGUGAAUUAAUGUCUCAGGAGCCAUAUAUACAGGGGUCCCAACGCGACCAACAGUCAUGUUUGAUUUAGAAGGAGAAGAUGAGGUAUGCACUUUAGCUGCAACAUUAAAGUCAGCCAACUUGCAAUGUCCCUUCUCAUCCAACAAAAUAUUAUCUGGCUUUACAUCGCGAUGAAGCACCCCCUUUGAAUGUAUAUAAAUCAAGGCAGAUACUAGUUCUACCAUCCAAAUACGAAUGACCGAUUCAUUGAAUUUUCUUUGGGAAAUAUGGUAUCGGAGAUCUCCACCAAGCAUUAAAUCAGUUACUAAGUAAAUUUUCGUUUCAUCCUCAAACUCAGAGUAAAACUUGCAUAGUAGAGGAUGGUUCAAUGAUUGUAAUAAUAGAACCUCAUUUCUUAGCUUCUUGAUCUUAUGCUCGUCGUGUUUCUUUUUAUUGAUGCAUUUAAGAGCAAACCUUUGCUUAGUUUGACGAUGUUUCACGACGAACACUGUACUCCAGCUUCCUUUCCCAAUAACAUUUCGAAUUUUGAACUGAGAAACACUUUCAAAAUUGGUGGCAUUUGGAUCCUCAAAAUUUUCUUUGUCGUUUUUAACACUUUUUGAGUUACUAUUUCCCAUGUAUAAAAAACUGCGGAAAGAAAGCACAAAGGUGCAGCAAUGUCUAUUUGACUUUGGUGGAUAGGGACGCUAGCGAACAAUUAAUUUACAUUUAGCAUUU